GUAUGCACAUACGAAUUAGCAAUCUGUAUAGGUCAUGCGGAUUGUCAAUCUGUAUGAGCAAUCCGUAUGGGUCAUACGGAUUGCUGAUCUGUAUGAUCCAUACGGAUUGGCAAUCCAUAUGGUCGUACGGAUUGUUGAUCCGUAUGUGCAUAC
rnacentral:pre_miRNA from 1 species